rnacentral:rRNA from 1 species
UACGUAGGGGGCAAGCGUUGUCCGGAUUUAUUGGGCGUAAAGAGCGUGUAGGCGGCCAGGUAGGUCCGUUGUGAAAACUCGAGGCUCAACCUCGAGACGUCGGCGGAAACCCUCUGGCUAGAGUCCGGAAGAGGAGAGUGGAAUUCCUGGUGUAGCGGUGAAAUGCGCAGAUAUCAGGAAGAACACCCGUGGCGAAAGCGGCUCUCUGGAACGGUACUGACGCUGAGACGCGAAAGCGUGGGGAGCAAACAGG